GGCUCCGCGGACCUCCUGGUCAAUGGAAGCGCGGACUGGGCAGUCCGCGCCGCGGUCAGGUGGGCCUCCCAGCUCUAGUCCCGCGCCGCCCUGCUCACUCUUCCGCUCCAUCUUGGCUCCAUAAGCUCGCCUUCUUGUUGACUCUCCUGCUGCCGGGGCUGUGGCAGCCGAGACCAAGUGACCUCAGCGAACGCGAGGAGACAGUGGGUCUGAGUAAACCCCGCGUUCCGGAGAAUUCGCCUGGGGCAUGGGGGCGGACGCGGAUUGUUCGCUUCCUGUGACCCACAGUCAUUAAUUGAGCACCUAGUAUGUGAGAGAGGAGGCUGUGAGGAGAGGAACACAGCGGGAUGAGACAAAGCCAGGGCCUGUUCUCUAGGAGCCUCUACCUCCCUGUGCUAUCGAGGACCCCGCUCCGAGAUUCUCGGCCAUAGGUUGCUAGAAUGAUUAUGCAGAUCUAUCUGAUAUAGGGGAAAAAUUCAGCAACCUCAUCCAGAUUCUGCUAUCCCUACAAGGCUGCAUCUGAGAAGACCAAAGAGAUGGAGAAAGUGGGCCAUGAAGCAAGAAAUGUGGGUGCCCUCUAGAAGCUGGAAACAGCAAGGAAAUGGACCUUUCCCUAAAACCUCCAAAAAGCAAUGCAGACCUGUCAACAUUUUUACUUUAGCCCACUGAGGCCAUUUCAGAUUUCUGCUCCAGAACUCUAAGAUCCAAAGAUCACAGUGAAGCCGAAGCACCAGAAGCUUGAAGAAAACUAUACCAAGGCUCAUCGUAAUCAAACUGCUCAAAACCAGUGAUUAAAGAAAAAUUUUAAAGCCCCUAAAAUUAUUCAGCUGCUUUUCCUGCUGAAGCAUUCAGAUGACCCAUAGGACAAAGGCACAGUUCAACCCCUUCAAUUACAGAAGAGCUAACUGAAGCUGAGAGAAGAGACAUGACUGGUUCAAGGUCACAGAGCUAGUUACUAAAAGAAUGGAUUAGAGCUCACUGGUUUUUUUCAGCUUUAUUAAAGUGUAA